rnacentral:rRNA from 2 species
ACGGGAGGCAGCAGUGGGGAGUAUUGCACAAUGGGCGAAAGCCUGAUGCAGCAACGCCGCGUGAGUGAAGAAGUAUUUCGGUAUGUAAAGCUCUAUCGAUGGGGAAUAAGAUGAAGGUACCCAAGUAAGAAGCCCCGGCUAACUACGUGCCAGCAGCCGCGGUAAUACGUAGGGGGCAAGCGUUAUCCGGAUUUACUGGGUGUAAAGGGAGCGUAGACGGAAUAGCAAGUUUGAAGUGAAAUACCUGGGCUUAACCCAGGAAUUGCUUUGAAAACUGUUAAUCUAGAGUACUGGAGGGGUAUGGGGAAUUCCUAGUGUAGUAGUGAAAUGCGUAGAUAUUAGGAGGAACACCGGAGGCGAAGGCGCCAUACUGGACAGAUACUGACGUUGAGGCUCGAAAGCGUGGGGAGCAAACAGGAUUAGAUACCCUGGUA